UGGGUCAGUGGUAGAACAUCCGGCAUUGAAAACACUCAAUGCCGGUUCGAAUUCCCCU
rnacentral:tRNA from 1 species